rnacentral:rRNA from 1 species
UACGUAGGGCGCAAGCGUUGUCCGGAAUUAUUGGGCGUAAAGAGCUCGUAGGCGGCUUGUCACGUCGGAUGUGAAAGCCCGAGGCUUAACCCCGGGUCUGCAUUCGAUACGGGCUAGCUAGAGUGUGGUAGGGGAGAUCGGAAUUCCUGGUGUAGCGGUGAAAUGCGCAGAUAUCAGGAGGAACACCGGUGGCGAAGGCGGCAUCCUGGACCAAUAUUGACGCUGAGGAGCGAAAGCUAGGGGAGCAAACGGG